rnacentral:ncRNA from 1 species
CGCUAUCGUUAGGGGUGCCUUGUUUUCGAACACGAAUAAAGGCUGAGAUUAUACCCAGUCUCUUUACUAUGGUAAUGGAGACGCACCUGAUCCAGAUAAUGCUGGCGGAGGGAAAGGUUAAGUUAAAUUA